rnacentral:rRNA from 1 species
UACGGAGGGUGCAAGCGUUGUCCGGAUUUAUUGGGUUUAAAGGGUGCGUAGGUGGCGCGGUAAGUCGGGUGUGAAAUCUCGGAGCUUAACUCCGAAAUUGCAUUCGAUACUGCCGUGCUCGAGGACUGGAGAGGAGACUGGAAUUCAUGGUGUAGCAGUGAAAUGCGUAGAGAUCAUGAGGAAGACCAGUGGCGAAGGCGGGUCUCUGGACAGUUCCUGACACUGAGGCACGAAGGCCAGGGGAGCAAACGGG